AUCUCCAGCGUCAAUCAAGAAACACUCUAAGGAUCUCCCAGAAGGAUAAAGAGAACAAAACCACGCUGCAGUGUGCCUCCGUAACAAAGCAGACAUAAUACAGUCGGGACUCUUCUGCAACCAAACCUCGCGACUUCAGCAGAACCGUGAUUGGCUCCUUUGUGCUGUCCUAUCAGAUGGGAGUUUUAAAAAGAGAGGUCUCCCUCAGCCGUCGAGACAUCCAUUCAGUCCUGCUCUGCUCUGCCAGGCCCACAGAAUGAGGCGCUGCAGACGGACGGACGGACAGACAGUGGUGGGCAGGUGGAGACGGGAUGAAGAACACUAAAGACUUUCUUGCUGACCACUAUCUGACACACAGGCAGCAGGAAAGCAAUCAGCACAGCAGCCAAUUCUUACUUUUUUUUCUUUCUUUUUUUUUCCCCCCGCAGCAGCAUUUUA